ACUGCCUAACAACACAUUUAUCAGAAUGGAUUGUAAAGCACACAUAAUAUGUGUGCAUGUAUCUAUAUAUAUCUCAACAUUUAAAAUUCACAAACCCAUUGGUGAAGCAAUUUCUCUUUUAGGAAUUUGUCCUGCAGAUAUUUGACAUGAAAAAUCAUUAUCUAUAAUAGCAAGGGUUAACAAAAUGGAGGUUAUACUAUGAACUUCAAAAUUUUCUUUUAAAACUUCUUCAGAUGUCUAAGGAUGUGACCGCUGGCUACCUGUUCAUGUUGAAUAAUCUGGCACAAAAUUGGAAACAAUAAAAGGCCUUUAGAAGCUUGUGAUUACCAGCUGGGCUAGUUGAUUUGGGGUUUACUCUAGGGUGACCUUCAAGUAUUUUUCUCUGAAGUUGGUGAGAUUCCUCAAGGAAGAGCCUCAAUAGCCUUUCUGCACAUGCACUCACUGAGUAUCAACACCAUAGCGAGCAGUAUACUGGUAUUGAGAGACACAGAUGCCAAUCAUUGACACCAGAUGUACCAAUUCUUCCCUGAAACGUCUUCACUAUCCGAACGAAUCAUCUGUGCCCUGCCUUCCAACACGAUAGGCAGACUUCCAACGACUCACUUUUUAUGGACAUUGGCCAGCUGCUCCAAGUUCAAUCUUUUGUGCCUCAGUUUUACAGCACUGUUUAACUGCUUGUGGACUUUUGUUUUCUCCCUCUGAUACUCUAGUAGUUUUUCUUUACACUCCUAAAAAUUUCUAUGCCACAAGAGCUGCACAGAAGCCUUACAAAUGCAAUCAAGUCUUGGCAGGAAUGCUUUGUAGUGAUCAUUUACCCAUCGAUUUAAAUUAUGCAAUUCCUACAAAAUUUUUCAAUUUAUUCAAAUCCUUCUGCAAUUAUGUUGUUCUGAUUUCUUUUUAGAUUUGAACAAAGAUAACCAAUGUAUAUAUUAACUUAAUUUUUCUUAAUGGGAAAAUAUUACUAAGCACUUGCCAAAAUUUUGGAAUUCUAUAUUCAUAUCUCAUAUGCUCCUUCCAGUUCUGUGAGGUAGAUAGGGAAAGUUAUGUAGCACCAAGAAGAGAAAGAGCCAGAGCAUUUGGGUUAGAAGUCUGCUUAUGCCACUAAUUAGUUGCAUAACUGUAGGCAAGUCACUCAUUACCCAAGAGCUUCGAAAGUCAAAGUACCCACCUCACAGACAAGUAUUAAAUUAUGUUAAAACCCACUUAUUUGUAAUAGCCAGGUAAACAUUCCUAAUUAUUGUCCCUAUUUCUCAGCAUACAUGAUACAAUUUUUGGAUAAAUAUCCUAUAUCCACCAUGUUGUGUUUGAAGGACUUUGGAUUCACAUCUUCAGCAUGUUUUCUGGAUAAGUAUGCCUUUUUUCAACUUUUUCUCAUGUGACAUGGUUCUAAGUCAUUUAUCAAACUUGGUCCACCCCUCUCUUCUGAAUAUACUAACUGGAAAAGAAAUGUAAGUGAUUUUAGGCAAAUAUUACAUCUCUAAAGCAAAUAUUAAUUUUAGGCCUUUUGUGUUUUUCUGUUUUCCCCUAAAGAAUAUACUUUAAAUCAUUUUGUUUUGGUGAUAAAUACAAGUACUGUU